CCUGAGACACAGGUAUCCUUGCCAACUUUCCCAGAUUAGAACAGGUUCUCUUGGACUCUUUCCAAGUGCCUCUGACUAACAGAGAAAAGUAUUUUUCCAUCGCAGACACUGCAGGCAGGCACCAGACUCCCGGAGGGGGAGGCAAAGACUGCAUCCCAAGAUUCCCAUACAGAUGAGCUGUGAAGUUACCCUGCCACCACGUAAACUGCCCAAGUCUUGUGCUGAAACAGAAAGCAAAUACAGUUCCUGCCCUUAAUAAGCUCACAGUCUUUGGCAUGUGGGAAAACAUAUAAACAUGCAUAAUACAGGACAUUGUGCUAUCUGUGAACAUGAAGAAAAUGCAAUGGAGUCAGAAGAGAGAAGACUCUUCCCUGAGAAAACUGAAUCUGAGCUAAGCCUUCAAAAAUUAUCAGGACAGAAUAAAGAUUACCAGAAGGAACAGGAAGAGAGACAUCUCAGGCAGGGGUGAGAGCUUGCCCGAAGACACAGAGGAAUGAGAGAGCAGGAAAUGCCCAGGGAGCAGUGAAUACCUAGAGGAGGCAGGAAAAAAAACGUUUGGGAAGUAUGCAUUUAUUUUAUGAAUGUGUUCAAGGUCAGGUGCAGUGGACUGCCUGUCCAGCAUCUAAUGCCCCCUUCUCCUUCUCUCAGAGUAGCCUCCCCAACUCCACUCCUGGGCUUCAGGGUGACAAGCCUCACCCUCAGAUGAAUGGGAGUGCCUCCAGGACUUAGGAAAGUCAGAACAAUCCCAAUACCUUGUGCAUCACUCCCACCGUGGCUUUCCCUUCCCUUCUUUCCCCACUUCUUAUCCCAUCCUCAAAAAUUCCUCCUUUGUUCUCACCUAGGGGAGAAGGGAGGUUUGCUGUGCAGGCAUUUUCUACAGCCAACCUUCAGGAGGCUGGGCCACAGAGUAAGAGAGGAAGAAAGGAAGAAGAGGAGAUGCAGAUAUGGUGCUAUAUGGGGAACAGGGGGGUGUCCACAGGGAGAGUAUAGAGCAGAGGGAGAGGCAGGCAGAGAGAGGAGCUGAAAGAGACUGAGCCUGAGAGCGAAAAAUAGAAGAGAAAGCCCUAUAGGCUAAAUGGCCAACAAAGACAGACCAACAGACCCACAAGCAGGAUAGUCACUAACCGCUCCUCAUGUGCCCAUGUAGAGAUUUCCCUAUAAGAACAUUCCCAGCCCCUCACUCUACAUCCUCACUCAGUCCUACUCUCCUUUUGGGAGAAGGAACUGGGCCUGCAAAGCACAGUCCUUCCAAGGUCUCCCUUUCGGAUGUGCCCGCCUGCAGAGAGGGUGCCUUCUUGUCUGCUCCUAGCCAUGCAGUGAGCUCAGCAGGGCCAACGCUAUGCAGCUGCCACAGUGCCUGGUUCCACUCUGGCAGCAAGGAGGCAUACUUUUACUGGGUCCACAAAAAUUCUAAUCAGAUUAACAGGCCAACCAAUACAGAGACUUAAAACAAAGGAAUUAAGAAAACAGCAAAAGCAGUAUAAUGAGUAAACUCCAUUUACCCAUUUUCUGCAUGCCUGUGUCACUAUUUCUUAACAAAGAAUAAAUAUAGGACUCAAGAAAUAAGCGCCUUACCUGUCACUCUGCUUGGUUCCUUUGCUGUCAAAAAUGGUGGGAGAGUCUGCCCAGGGCACAACCGCCGUCCAGAUGAUGCCAAACCAGUCCCCCACUGGAACACAGUGCCACUUGCUUCCCAUGGAGAAGAGGAAAACAAGAAAACGUUUUACCAGGACUAAGGCCAGAUUGCUCCUGGAGCCCCAUUCUAUGGGAGAUUCCCAAUGCAUUCUCAGUUAACAUGCCUGCUAGGGAGCAGCUCAGUGCUUCAAGGGGCCCUAUGACUUGGCUGCCACCAAGCCAAUCGCAAG